GGCAUUAGCUCAGUUGGUAGAGCGUCUGCUUUGCACGCAGAAAGUCGGGGGUUCGAGUCCCUUAUGCUCC
rnacentral:tRNA from 1 species